rnacentral:tRNA from 1 species
GAGGAGGUGGCUGAGUGGUUAAGGUGCUGGACUGCUAAUUCAUUGCUGAUUCACAGGUGGGCUCAAAUCCCACUUCGUCG